GCUGCAGUGCUCAUCACUUUGGGAGAAGAGCGACUUGCUGCCUGCCUGUGAAAACUCCUGAGAAGCUAGAGGGCUUCACUGUCUGCAACCUUGGCUCCUGAUUCAGUCCUUAAGUUUUACCCUGUGUCAUAAUCUGUACUGGAAGGCAGCUGACAACUCUGUGAAUGGCAAUGAAUGUGCAGAAGUUAUUGACCGUGGAAGAUGUGACCAUAAAAUUCACCCCAGAGGAAUGGGCCCUACUGGACACACCUCAGAGAAA